AAGAAUUCGACAUAAUAUCGUUCUUGUAGGCUCAUCCAAAGAGUAGACAGUUGAUGAUCACGUUGAUCCUUGGUAGCAUCGUCGCGGAUCUAUUAUGACAAAAGGGACACAAGUGCCUUGCCGUUGAACAGCGUUACCAACGACGAAGAUAAAUCGGAAGAAAUGCAAACGACGUUGCUACGUCGCUUGAAUGAAGCUCCAUUACGACGAUUUUCGAGGACACCCUUCGACGUGGACAAGAACGGGCGGAAAAAGGGCGAGCUAGCAACCAGAGAACGGAGUGACAUUGUGCCGGUGAAAUCAAGAAUUACGAGAUGGAUCUUUCCCGCUGAUUGAAGACUGAAGAUGUUAAAAUUAUGAAAAAAAACUAUGUACGAAUUGAAGAAGUGUACGUUAUCCUAUGGCCGACCAUAUGCAACAGUUGUCAAGAAUAUUUGUCAACAAGUUGAAAUUAUAAGGUGGACGUAGCGCAACUUGAAAAUUCGUAGUACGAGAGCAGACGAGCGGAGAUCGUGGAGCCAUAGAACAUGGAUAACCGCAUUAAUGGAAAAAUUCGCGGCAGAAGCGAGAUUUCGGCGAGCUUUGAAAGAGCCUGGGCUCUUAACUCACCGAGAAAUCGGGGAUCAUUAGGCGAACUUAGGUAGACCGGAGACCGAAAAAGGGCGACGGUUUCUCGCAACUGUCCGGUUGACCCAUAUCUUUCGGAAAAACUGAAAAACUGACGGACCGGAGGAAAUACCACGCAGAUGGCGCUGUGCUUGCGCCACGCUACGUACAUAAAUUUCCCUUUUUUUCUUGCCCUUGGCGCUUUUGUUGGCCCGGAGAGACGGUUCUCCUUUUUUCUAUCCUUCACGAGGCACCACGCUCGAAUGCUUUAGACAAAAGGACGCGGACUGCGUUUCACCAACAGACAGAGGGAGAAAAAAGAAGGAAAUGCUGCACUGGGGCAAAUGGACACAGGACAGCCCUCUCUCCACGAAGAAUGAAAUUGCGGUAGCUGUCGUGUCCGUUUACGUUUAACUGCUCGCUUAAAUCUUCACCGUUUCGGAGCGAACUAACUGCAAUCGGACCACUUCACUUUGUUUAGCGUAGAGAUAUCGCCAGCUUCCACGUUGAACGCAAAUUAAUUCUUUUUUUUAAGCUACAAAAUUUGCACCAGCCUGGUGAGUCGUGUUGAGACGAAAGAAAAAGUAUUAUUGGAUUAGCUUGUAGUUUAUUUAGCGAACGUCCAGCUGGACAAAUUGUAAAGUACAAAUUAAAUAACAAUAAUAAAAAAAAGUUUAUAGUUUGCUUCAAUUGG
rnacentral:misc_RNA from 1 species